CAAGGGGUAGUUUAUUUAAAAUAUUAACUUUGGGAGUUAAUGAAAAGGAGUUUCUUUUCUCUUGA
rnacentral:tRNA from 1 species